rnacentral:rRNA from 1 species
GGGGAAUAUUGCACAAUGGGCGAAAGCCUGAUGCAGCGACGCCGCGUGAAGGAUGAAGGUCUUCGGAUUGUAAACUUCUAUCAGCAGGGAAGAAAGGGCCUAUGGCCUAUGACGGUACCUGACUAAGAAGCCCCGGCUAACUACGUGCCAGCAGCCGCGGUAAUACGUAGGGGGCAAGCGUUAUCCGGAUUUACUGGGUGUAAAGGGUGCGUAGGUGGCUAUGCAAGUUUGAUGUGAAACCUUAAGGCUUAACCUUAAGCAUGCAUCAAAAACUGCAAAGCUAGAGUGCAGGAGAGGAAAGUGGAAUUCCUAGUGUAGCGGUGAAAUGCGUAGAUAUUAGGAGGAACACCAGUAGCGAAGGCGGCUUUCUGGACUGUAACUGACACUGAGGCACGAAAGCGUGGGGAGCAAAC